UACAGAGGGUGCAAGCGUUAAUCGGAAUUACUGGGCGUAAAGGGCGCGUAGGUGGUUGUAUAAGAGAGAUGUGAAACUCCCUGGGCUCAACCUAGGAAUGGCAUUUUUACUGUAUAGCUAGAGUAGCAUGAGAGGUAGUGGAAUUUCCGGUGUAGCGGUGAAAUGCGUAGAUAUCGGAAGGAACACCAGUGGCGAAGGCGGCUACCUGGCAUGAUACUGACACUGAGGCGCGAAAGCGUGGGGAGCCAAACAGG
rnacentral:rRNA from 1 species